GACUCUCGGCAACGGAUAUCUCGGCUCUCGCAUCGAUGAAGAACGUAGCGAAGUGCGAUACUUGGUGUGAAUUGCAGAAUCCCGCGAACCAUCGAGUUUUUGAACGCAAGUUGCGCCCGAGGCGUCUCCGCCGAGGGCACGCCUGCCUGGGCGUCGCGCAUCG
rnacentral:rRNA from 3 species